AUAUGUAUAUAGUUUUUUUUUAAUCCAGUUAUCGAAUUAGUUUUUCUUUUGUUUUGGAACAGCUGUUUACUUAAAUUUCCUUUAUGAAAGUUGAUGACGGCAUGUGCAACACUUAAAGAUAAGUAACAAAGUUUAUUAUUAUUUUUUCCAUAGUCUACAAUAUAUAUAUAUAUAUAUAUACACACACACACAUAUGCAAGUGUAUGCAUGCACACGCAUUUUAUACAAAUGAAGUUUUCAGUGGGUUUUUGCCUAUAUAUGUAAGCUGAAAGUUGGACACAUACCAGAGACUGCUCGAAUUUCGGAAUCUUCCGAAAUUUAUGAUAUAUAGUAUAUAUAUAUAGUUAUAUAGUUUAUACACAUUUAGAAUGCCUGUGUGUGCACGUGGAGCGCGAGCGUUCAAUAGAAAACGUUAACUAGAGUGUUCAUUAUGUGUGUGUGUGUUUGUUUUUGUGGGUGUGAGUGUGUGUGUGGGUGUGCGUGAGCCGGCUGACAUUUCGGUGUGUUAUAGUUGUUCGUGUUGUUCUUGCAUUUAACCGUAUUGUGAUUGUUGC